rnacentral:rRNA from 1 species
AGGAUAUAUUCGGAACAUCUUCUUCAGAAGAUGCGGAAUAACGUGACAUAUUGUAUUCAGUUUUGAAUGUUUAUUUAACAUUCAAAUAUUUUUUGGUUAAAGUGAUAUUGCUUUUGAAAAUAAAGCAGUAUGCGAGCGCUUGACUNAACUCAAAGGAAUUGACGGGGACCCGCACAAGCGGUGGAGCAUGUGGUUUAAUUCGAAGCAACGCGAAGAACCUUACCAAAUCUUGACAUCCUUUGACAACUCUAGAGAUAGAGCCUUCCCCUUCGGGGGACAAAGUGACAGGUGGUGCAUGGUUGUCGUCAGCUCGUGUCGUGAGAUGUUGGGUUAAGUCCCGCAACGAGCGCAACCCUUAAGCUUAGUUGCCAUCAUUAAGUUGGGCACUCUAAGUUGACUGCCGGUGACAAACCGGAGGAAGGUGGGGAUGACGUCAAAUCAUCAUGCCCCUUAUGAUUUGGGCUACACACGUGCUACAAUGGACAAUACAAAGGGCAGCGAAACCGCGAGGUCAAGCAAAUCCCAUAAAGUUGUUCUCAGUUCGGAUUGUAGUCUGCAACUCGACUACAUGAAGCUGGAAUCGCUAGUAAUCGUAGAUCAGCAUGCUACGGUGAAUACGUUCCCGGGUCUUGUACACACCGCCCGUCACACCACGAGAGUUUGUAACACCCGAAGCCGGUGGAGUAACCUUUUAGGAGCUAGCCGUCGAAGGUGGGACAAAUGAUUGGGGUGAAGUCGUAACAAGGUAGCCGUAUCGGAAGGUGCGGCUG